rnacentral:rRNA from 1 species
GUGUACCUAUUACUUGUUGCUUCCCUGGGGUAACUCAGGGAAGGCAUACAUAUACUCUGUUUAUUGUAGUCAGUCUGAAUUUGUUUAUUUAUAAACGUUAAAACUUUCAACAACGGAUCUCUUGGUUCUCGCAUCGAUGAAGAACGCAGCGAAAUGCGAUAAGUAGUGUGAAUUGCAGAAUUCAGUGAAUCAUCGAAUCUUUGAACGCACAUUGCGCCCUCUGGUAUUCCGGGGGGCAUGCCUGUUCGAGCGUCAUCAAAACUACUCAAGCUAAGGUUUACCUUCUGCUUGGUCUUGGAAUUGGAGGCUUAUGUCUCCUUUCUGAAAUACAGUGGCGAAUUGACUGUGCUGUAAACGUAGUAACUUUACCCGUUGAAAGCAUGUUCACAUUCCGCCAAAACCCCCUCUAUUAUCUAGUUUGACCUCGGAUCAGGUAGGGAUACCCGCUGAACUUAAGCAUAUCAAUAAGCGGAGGAAAAGAAACCAACAGGGAUUGCCUUAGUAACUGCGAGUGAAGCGGCAAAAGCUCAAAUUUGAAAUCUGAGGCCUCACAGCCUCCGAAUUGUAAUUUCACGAUACGUUUUCGACUGAAGGCUCUGCUUUAAGUUCCUUGGAACAGGACGUCACAGAGGGUGAGAAUCCCGUGAUAGGUGGAGCCUGAUGCAUAUGAUACGUAUUCAACGAGUCGAGUUGUUUGGGAAUGCAGCUCAAAAUGGGAGGUAAAUUUCUUCUAAAGCUAAAUAUUGGCGAGAGACCGAUAGCGCACAAGUAGAGUGAUCGAAAGAUGAAAAGCACUUUGAAAAGAGAGUUAAAAAGUACGUGAAAUUGUUGAAAGGGAAGCGCUUGAGACCAGACUCAAUCUGUAGUGAUCAAUUUGGCUUCUGUCAGAUGCACUUGCUACUUAUUGGGACAGCAUCGGUUUUGGCGGUGGG